rnacentral:rRNA from 1 species
UACGGAGGAUGCAAGCGUUAUCCGGAAUUAUUGGGCGUAAAGCGUCCGUAGGUGGCUUUCCAAGUCAGCUGUUAAAGCGUGGAGCUUAACUCCAUAAAGGCAGUUGAAACUGUGAGGCUAGAGUGCGGUAGGGGUAAGGGGAAUUCCCAGUGUAGCGGUGAAAUGCGUAGAUAUUGGGAAGAACACCGGUGGCGAAAGCGCCUUGCUGGACCUGCACUGACACUGAGGGACGAAAGCUAGGGGAGCGAAAGGG